rnacentral:rRNA from 1 species
UGUACACACAAUGCAGCAAACCAGCGAACUGUUGUUGUCCCCCGAGGGGCCUCACCCGGAGGUGGGGCCGUCAAUGGCGUGGAUCGGCCGAGAGGUCGGCCCGUGGGUGAGGCGGGUCCUCGCCGUUGGCUGGAGUGCCUCGAACUUGCGGUUUUGGUCGUCGGAGGCUAGCAUCCCCCUUCGGGAGGGGCCAGUUGCCGGCGGUCGGGGUCGGGCCCUCCCCUCCCCCUUUGUCCCCGUCUUUGGGGGGCUCUGGGGCCGUUUUUCUUCACAAGCACCUUGAUGAACAUGAAUGUAGAGACUGAGCCGGGGCUUUGUGCUGCCUCAGCGGAGAGCGCACAGCCCGAGUCAAAAACCAAAACAACGACUCUCAGCAACGGAUAUCUUGGCUCUUGCAACGAUGAAGAACGCAGCGAAAUGCGAUACCUAGUGUGAAUUGCAGAAUUCCGCGAAUCAUCGAGUCUUUGAACGCAAGUUGCGCCCGAGGCUUGUCCCGAGGGCAUGCCUGCCUGAGCGUCACCGCACUCCCACCUGGAAGCAUCUCCAGUGUGGAACUGGCCGUCCGGGACCCGACGUGAAGGUAUGGGUUGCGGUUGGCUGAAAUGCAGCGAUUUGGACGCAGCCGGAGAGAGAGGCCGCGAGAAGGUGAUUCGUUCCUUGUUGAGCGGAGUCUAAUUGGACAGCGCCUCUCCCUUUUGGUGGUCCGGUCGACGGCUACCAGGGGGAGUCUCCCCCCUCCCUGGUGGCAGUAGAGGGAAUGCGAGUGACUUUGCACUUCCCCUCCUUACUGCUUGGACCUCAGAUCAGGCAAGAUUACCCGC